rnacentral:rRNA from 1 species
GACGAACGCUGGCGGCGUGCUUAACACAUGCAAGUCGAACGAUGAACCAGGGCUUGCCCUGGGGAUUAGUGGCGAACGGGUGAGUAACACGUGGGCAACCUGCCCCAGACACCGGGAUAACCUCUCGAAAGAGUGGCUAAUACCGGAUACGACCACUUUGGGCAUCCAACGGUGGUGGAAAGGAUUCUGGUCUGGGAUGAGCCCGCGGCCUAUCAGCUUGUUGGUGGGGUAAUGGCCUACCAAGGCGACGACGGGUAGCCGGCCUGAGAGGGCGACCGGCCACACUGGGACUGAGACACGGCCCAGACUCCUACGGGAGGCAGCAGUGGGGAAUAUUGCGCAAUGGGCGAAAGCCUGACGCAGCGACGCCGCGUGAGGGACGAAGGUCUUCGGAUUGUAAACCUCUUUCAGCAGGGACGAAGCGAAAGUGACUGUACCUGCAGAAGAAGCACCGGCUAACUACGUGCCAGCCGCCGCAGUAA